rnacentral:rRNA from 1 species
UACUGGUUAUCUUGAGUUGUAUUGAAGUAGGCGGAAUAUGUAGUGUAGCGGUGAAAUGCAUAGAUAUUACAUAGAACACCAAUUGCGAAGGCAGCUUACUAAGUACUAACUGACGCUGAUGGACGAAAGCGUGGGUAGCGAACAGGAUUAGAUACCCUGGUAGUCCACGCCGUAAACGAUGGAUACUAGCUGUUCGGGGCCUUGAGCUCUGAGCGGCUAAGCGAAAGUGAUAAGUAUCCCACCUGGGGAGUACGUUCGCAAGAAUGAAACUCAAAGGAAUUGACGGGGGCCCGCCCAACCGGUGGAGAAUGUGUUUUAAUUCGAUGAAACGCGAGGAACCUUACCAGGGCUUAAAUGUAGUCUGACAGCUUUAGAGAUAGAGUUUUCUUCGGACAGAUUACAAGGUGCUGCAUGGUUGUCGUCAGCUCGUGCCGUGAGGUGUCAGGUUAAGUCCUAUAACGAGCGCAACCCCUGUCGUUAGUUGCCAGCAUGUCAUGAUGGGGACUCUAACGAGACUGCCGGUGCAAACCGCGAGGAAGGUGGGGAUGACGUCAAAUCAUCACGGCCCUUACGUCCUGGGCCACACACGUGCUACAAUGGUCGGUACAGAGAGCAGCCACGUCGCAAGGGCGGAGCGAAUCUAUAAACCGGUCACAGUUCGGAUC